rnacentral:rRNA from 1 species
GACGAACGCUGGCGGCGUGCCUAAUACAUGCAAGUAGAACGCAGUUGCGAAAGGGUGAGUAACGCGUAGGUAACUGCCUCAUAGCGGGGGAUAACUAUUGGAAAAGAUAGCUAAAAACGCAUACUGUGAGAUGGACCGGCGUUGUAUGAGCUAGUGGGUGAGGUAAAGGAGCACCAAGGCGACGAUACCUAGCCGUCCGGAGGGGGUGUUCCGCCCCACUUGGCCCGAGACACGGCCCAGACUCCUACGGGAUGUCGCCGUCGGGGAUCUUUGUAGAUGGACGGAAGUCUGACCGAGCAACGCCGCUUGAGUUAAGAAGGUUUUCGGUUCGUAAAGCUCUGUUUUUCGAUAAGCGGUAACUAACCAGAAAGGGCCGGCUAACUCCGUGCCAGCAGCCGCGGUAAUUC